UUUUUCUCAGGAACCCAACAUUCUCGUUUACGUUUAAUUUCUCAAAUGAAGAAGCAAGCAAGAGGGUACUUUCACGAAGCCAAAUGGUUCCAUACCAGCUACACACCAACGAUGGAGGAAUACAUGCCCCUUGCAUUAUUAACGAUAGGCUAUGAAGAGAUAGCGAUCACAUCGCUUGUAGGAAUGGGCGAUGUGGUCACAAGAGAUGCUUUUGAAUGGUUGCUCGGCGACUGCAAGAUCUUGAAGGCUUCACAAAUCAUAUGUAGGUUCAUGGAUGACAUUGCUUCUCACCAGUAGGAGCAAAAGAGGGGGCACGUAGCAUCUUCGGUGGAGU